UACAGAGGACUGGAAUGAAAAUGAGGCUGCAAAGGAAACGGAAUGAAAAAUAGGUUUGUUUUGGUCACCCAGAAGCAAAACCUAUCGUGCACAUUGACACAAACACACCUAAAACCUAGCAGCCACCUCAUACCAUUUCCUGACACCAAAAUAAAAUAAAGAUGGAACUUCAGGGGAAGAAGACAAAGAGAAGGAGUGGAAAUGAAGCUGCCAAGGGAAACAGAACUGAUUUUGCAAAGAAGUAUUUCUGUGCUGAAAGUACAAGACAGAGCAUAGCAUACAGGGAGAAUUCCAAGCACUGCAAAAGAUGUGGAAACUAAUGUCCAGGGUAAUACAAAACUUACUCAAGGUCACAUAGCAAGUAAGUAGCAGAACUAAGAUUUAAAUGCUGACUCUGUUGACUUGCUCUGCAUUUCCAAGCAAAGUUUCUAAUUCCAGAAUAUCUUGCAAAUAUUUUCUUUUCUUCUGUCCUUAAGUUCUCCUCCCUUACUCUCUCCCUCCCUCCCUCACUCUCGCUCUCUCUGUCUCUUUCUUCUCUCCCUUCUCCCCUUCCUCAUCUAAGACAUUGUCCCAUGCUGGUGAGAUCAAAGAAAGAGUUUAUAUUGUGGAAUUAAUAAAGGCUCUGUCAGAUAAACUGGGUUUUCUGUGGGCUGUCAAGAGGAAAUAGUCUAAGUGGAGGAAAAAUGAAGAGUGGAGCACAGAGAUAAAUGUGAAUGUAGGGCGUAUAGGAAGAGAGAACAAUCCAAUUUGACCUGGAUGUAAAACUGAUUAGGGUUUGUGGGGAAGAUGGGGACAUUUUAAAACCAUCCCAUCACUAACUUUGGCCUGGAGCCUUGAUGUGCACAAAGGCUUUGGUUAUAUCCUUAUUCCUGCUGCUCUUGGAAGUAAGAACAAUGAAGUGGAGUGGAACGUUCGUUUGAUAAAUGACAUCCUUGUGAGAAAAACAAACCAAUAAAAAAGUUUGCUUUACAGGAGAUUCUGCACACUUCCCUCCAAGUAAGUUCAAACAUCAUGAACCUCACCAGCCUAUCAUUUAUAGUCAGGGUAUGGCUCUCCAAGGAGGUGGGGUGUGAAAGGGGAAGUGUGUUGUAGUGGUGACACAAAUAUGUUUAAAAGAGUGGCAACAAUUUUCAUCAGCUGCUGUGUAUGUGUGCAAGUUUUGGAGAAUGGACACAAUGACUAAAGAAAAUGUCUAGAGAUCUUCCAAGGGCUAUAUAUAUAAAACUUGCGUACUUCUUUUCAAGGAAAAAGAAAAAAAAAAAUCACAAUUCAUAUUGCUAUUGAUUGCCAAUCAAUUGAUUAUCAAUCAAUUCAAUCAAUGGGACAUGUGAAGUCCCAUAUUUGAUUUCUUUAAAUAUGAAUUUGUUAAUAGCCUGAGCCAUAUGGAGUCUGAAAAUUAUCAGAGUUACUUAAAUAUCUGCAGGUUUUUAUCCCCUCUUCCUUUCUUUCUUCCUUCCAUCCUUUCCUUUUGUUAUUUAAAGGAUAUAAUCUUGAUAGUGUCUCUAGGAAUGAGAGGAGGAAGAU